AGUGAACGCUGGCGGUAGGCCUAACACAUGCAAGUCGAACGGCAGCACAGUAAGAGCUUGCUCUUACGGGUGGCGAGUGGCGGACGGGUGAGGAAUACAUCGGAAUCUACUUUUUCGUGGGGGAUAACGUAGGGAAACUUACGCUAAUACCGCAUAUGACCUACGGGUGAAAGCAGGGGAUCUUCGGACCUUGCGCGAUUGAAUGAGCCGAUGUCGGAUUAGCUAGUUGGCGGGGUAAAGGCCCACCAAGGCGACGAUCCGUAGCUGGUCUGAGAGGAUGAUCGGCCACACUGGAACUUAGACACGGUCCAGACUCCUACGGGAGGCAGCAGUGGGGAAUAUUGGACAAUGGGCGCAAGCCUGAACCAGCCAUACCGCGUGGGUUAAGAAGACCUUCGGGUUGUAAAGCCCUUUUUUUGGGAAAGAAAAGCAGCAGGUUAAUACCCCGCUGUUCUGACGGUACCCAAAGAAUAAGCACCGGCUAACUUCGUG
rnacentral:rRNA from 1 species